rnacentral:rRNA from 1 species
GAGUUUGAUCCUGGCUCAGAUUGAACGCUGGCGGCAUGCCUUACACAUGCAAGUCGAACGGCAGCACGGGAGCUUGCUCCUGGUGGGCGAGUGGCGAACGGGUGAGUAAUGCAUCGGAACGUAUCCUGGAGUGGGGGGAUAACGUAGCGAAAGUUACGCUAAUACCGCAUAUUCUGUGAGCAGGAAAGCGGGGGACCUUCGGGCCUCGCGCUCUUGGAGCGGCCGAUGUCGGAUUAGCUAGUUGGUGAGGUAAAGGCUCACCAAGGCGACGAUCCGUAGCAGGUCUGAGAGGAUGAUCUGCCACACUGGAACUGAGACACGGUCCAGACUCCUACGGGAGGCAGCAGUGGGGAAUUUUGGACAAUGGGGGCAACCCGUGAUCCAGCCAUGCCGCGUGAGUGAAGAAGGCCU